rnacentral:lncRNA from 1 species
AUAGGACACAUUUCCUCCUUUCGUGCUCCGACAACCAUUCGGCAAGAACCAAACGACAAACAACUUCUCCAGCUUCAACAUGUUUAUUGUAAGUCAUGGUCUAGUCAAGCAAGCUUCCAUUUUCGCAAACUUGAGGCUUUUUGGUUGAGUUAGCAACUCCGGUCAUCAUCUUUGGUGUGGUAAGCUUAGAAUCAUCAUCUUUGGUGUGGUAAGCUCAGAAUCAUCAUCUCUAGUGAUUUUGAGCUUUUCAUUUUUGAACAUUCAGUCGAAUUUCUCUCACUCACUCUCUCUCUCUCUCUCUCUCUCUCUCUCUCUCUCUCUCAGAGGUAAGAUUUUCUUUUUUUCUUUUUUUCUUUCUCUGUCACUUUCUGAGAUAAGAUUUUUCUUCUCUUUUUCCUUUUUUAUUUUAUAAUAUUCACUGAACUCUCCUUUUGUCUAUCUAUUUACUUGAAUUCGAUUUGGUUUUGUUUGUGCAUUUUUAUUUAUAGUUUAAAUUUGUCGAUUUUGUAGAAUAAUUGGUUGUAGCUUGUGAUUGAGUUUUUUCUCUUAGUUAAUUUCUUUUAUCCCUUUCACUUUUAUUUUUUAAAGUUAUUUUACUUUUCUUAUCUAUCUAUUUGGUCCCUGAAAAAUCAAGGGAAAGGUGUAGAAAUUUAGUGUUUUUUUUACCUCUUUUAAGUGUAUAAGCUCAAUUGUCGGGUGUUCUAUGAAAUUUAUUAUUUCAUGAUAAAAUCAUAUUUUGGCAAACAUUGAAUGUUUAAUUAUAGGAAUAGAUGUAAAAUGGUUUCUUUGCCGAGUUUUUUUUAUGAAGUUGUUGUGUUGGUGAUGGGUUUGUUUGUUAGAGAGGAGAUCUGAAGUUUGAUGAUUGGUGUGUGUUAUUUUGAAGAGAUUGGUGUUUGAUGGGAACCGGUCCGAUUAUUGUGGCAAUGGUAGGCGACAGGAGACGAGAGGCUGCUAUAGAGCAAGGGCAAAAGCAAUAUCAAGACGGUACAUUUUGUGUGUGCUAACUCAAGUUGGGUUAGUUAACUUCUGUAGGUUCCACUUUUAUUUUUUUUUUUUUAAUUUCAAUUUUGACCAAUUUCAAAUUUAGGGUGCAAUUGCGACACAAGUUUCAAAUUGGUGUGUCUUGGGGAUUAAGUUCAUUUUGGAGUGCAAUUGUUACAAUUCAUAAAAUUUGGGUUAUUCAGAAUGGUUUAGCC